rnacentral:rRNA from 1 species
UACGUAGGUGGCAAGCGUUGUCUGGAUUUACUGGGCGUAAAGAGCGCGCAGGCGGUCGUAUAAGUCGAAUGUGAAAGCCCCCGGCUCAACUGGGGAGGGUCAUUCGAUACUGUUCGACUCGAAGGCAGGAGAGGGAAGUGGAAUUCCGGGUGUAGUGGUGAAAUGCGUAGAUAUCCGGAGGAACACCGGUGGCGAAGGCGGCAUCCUGGGCCGGUACUGACGCUGAGGAGCGAAAGCAUGGGGAGCGAACAGG